rnacentral:lncRNA from 1 species
UUUGUAGUGGCAUGAAUUUAAUAGUAGAAGUUGAAAUUGCAAUGUCACCUGCUUUGUGUUUUAGCUUCUUUCAAAUCUUCAUGAAGAAAAAUUGUUACUGAAAUAUAGCAUGCUCCAAUGUGCAGCAAUUUCAUGAAAUUAAACCUUAAUUAUACUUUUCCUUAAAAAGCUUUUGAAUGAAACUUGUAGCCAAACAACCUCCAAUGUUUUUUUUUAUUGAAAAUUUGACACGUCAUGUGAUAUUAUUGGGCCAAAAAAUUUGCUAAUAGAACAAAAAAAGAAUCUUUUGAAAAUCACCUUUGUACAACAUCAAGAAAGUUCAAAUGGUUUGGGAAUCUGUAUUCAUAUGGAAAUUAUGGGAUCAUUUGGUUCUAAUGGCUACAAAAUUAUGUGAAGAGGUGUGAUUCAGGUGAGGUUUGAACUAAGGAUCAAUAUGUAGUUUUGUUGAGUAAAAAGAUGUAACAAAUGUCUAGGGAUAAGAGGGUUUGAACUAAAUAGUCCUAUUCUUACGUUUGAGUUAAAUUCAUUGUAUCCAUAACUUCAUAAUUGUAAGAUAAGAGGCUACAUAUGUAUAGGGAUAUGGAUUAUUCAA